rnacentral:rRNA from 1 species
UACAGAGGUGGCAAGCGUUGUUCGGAAUUACUGGGCGUAAAGGGCGCGUAGGCGGCCAUCUAAGUCAGACGUGAAAUCCCUCGGCUUAACCGGGGAACUGCGUCUGAUACUGGAUGGCUUGAGUUUGGGAGAGGGAUGCGGAAUUCCAGGUGUAGCGGUGAAAUGCGUAGAUAUCUGGAGGAACACCGGUGGCGAAGGCGGCAUCCUGGACCAACACUGACGCUGAGGAGCGAAAGCCAGGGGAGCAAACGGG